CCUACGGGAGGCAGCAGUGGGGAAUAUUGGACAAUGGGGGGAACCCUGAUCCAGCCAUGCCGCGUGUGUGAAGAAGGCCCUCGGGUUGUAAAGCACUUUCAGUGAGGAAGAACGCCUGGUGGUUAAUACCCAUCAGGAAAGACAUCACUCACAGAAGAAGCACCGGCUAACUCCGUGCCAGCAGCCGCGGUAAUACGGAGGGUGCGAGCGUUAAUCGGAAUUACUGGGCGUAAAGCGCGCGUAGGUGGCUUGAUAAGCCGGUUGGGAAAGCCCCGGGCUCAACCUGGGAACGGCAUCCAGAACUGUCAAGCUAGAGUGCAGGAGAGGAAGGUAGAAUUCCCGGUGUAGCGGUGAAAUGCGUAGAGAUCGGGAGGAAUACCAGUGGCGAAGGCGGCCUUCUGGACUGACACUGGCACUGAGGUGCGAAAGCGUGGGUAGCAAACAGGAUUAGAUACCCGAGUAGUC
rnacentral:rRNA from 1 species